rnacentral:rRNA from 1 species
GGUCUCCGUUUUCAACCCUCAGGAAGUAAAAGUCGUAACAAGGUGAACCAGCGGAGGGAUCAUUACCGAGUUUACAACUCCCAAACCCCAAUGUGAACGUUACCAAUCUGUUGCCUCGGCGGGAUUCUCUGAAUCCAGUCCCCGGGCGCGUCGCAGCCCCGGAUCCCAUGGCGCCCGCCGGAGGACCAACUCAAACUCUUUUUUCUCUCCGUCGCGGCUUCCGUCGCGGCUCUGUUUUACCUUUGCUCUAGCCUUUCUCGGCGACCCUUCGAAAAUGAAUCAAAACUUUCAACAACGGAUCUCUUGGUUCUGGCAUCGAUGAAGAACGCAGCGAAAUGCGAUAAGUAAUGUGAAUUGCAGAAUUCAGUGAAUCAUCGAAUCUUUGAACGCACAUUGCGCCCGCCAGUAUUCUGGCGGGCAUGCCUGUCCGAGCGUCAUGAAGCGAUAAGUCCCCUCCGGGGGGUCGGCGUUGGGGAUCGGCCCCUCACCGGGCCGCCCCCGAAAUACAGUGGCGGUCUCGCCGCAGCCUCUCCUGCGCAGUAGUUUGCACACUCGCACCGGGAGCGCGGCGCGGUGCCCCCACAGCCGUAAAACACCCCAAACUCUGAAAUGUUGACCUCGGAUCAGGUAGGAGCGGGCGUC